rnacentral:rRNA from 1 species
AGAGUUUGAUCCUGGCUCAGAAUCAACGCUGGCGGCGUGCCUCAGACAUGCAAGUCGAACGCGAAAGUCCCCUUCGGGGGGCAAGUAGAGUGGCGCACGGGUGAGUAACACGUAGGUAAUCUACCUUUGGAUGGGGAAUAACAAUCGGAAACGAUUGCUAAUACCGCAUAAUGCAGCGGCACCUAAUGGUGACAGUUGUUAAAGCGGGGGAUCGAAAGACCUCGCGUCUGAAGAGGAGCCUGCGGCGGAUUAGCUAGUUGGUAAGGUAAUGGCUUACCAAGGCUACGAUCCGUAACCGGCCUGAGAGGGCGGUCGGUCACACUGACACUGACAUACGGGUCAGACUCCUACGGGAGGCAGCAGUCGGGAAUUUUGGGCAAUGGGCGAAAGCCUGACCCAGCAACGCCGCGUGAAGGAUGAAAUCCCUCGGGAUGUAAACUUCGCAAGAACGGGAAGAAUAAGUAGGGGACAAUACCCCCUAUGAUGACGGUACCGUUUGUAAGCUCCGGCUAACUCCGUGCCAGCAGCCGCGGUAAUACGGGGGGAGCAAGCGUUGUUCGGAUUUACUGGGCGUAAAGGGCGCGUAGGCGGCCAGCACAAGUCGGUUGUGAAAUCUCCGAGCUUAACUCGGAAAGGUCAACUGAUACUGUGCGGCUAGAGUGCGGAAGGGGCAACUGGAAUUCUUGGUGUAGCGGUGAAAUG